UGGACCCUGCAAUCACCUACACAAGUGACUCUGCCCUCUUGGAAGACCAGCAUUUGUGUCAACUAAGCCCCAACCCUGUUAUCUUCAGUGGUUUCAUACAAAAGAGACUGUAAAAUUGACUACCUGGACCCUGCAAUCACCUACACAAGUGACUCUGCCCUCUUGGAAGACCAGCAUUUGUGUCAACUAAGCCCCAACCCUGUUAUCUUCAGUGGUUUCAUACAAAAGAGACUGUAAAAUUGACUACCUGGACCCUGCAAUCACCUACACAAGUGACUCUGCCCUCUUGGAAGACCAGCAUUUGUGUCAACUAAGCCCCAACCCUGUUAUCUUCAGUGGUUUCAUACAAAAGAGACUGUAAAAUUGACUACCUGGACCCUGCAAUCACCUACACAAGUGACUCUGCCCUCUUGGAAGACCAGCAUUUGUGUCAACUAAGCCCCAACCCUGUUAUCUUCAGUGGUUUCAUACAAAAGAGACUGUAAAAUUGACUACCUGGACCCUGCAAUCACCUACACAAGUGACUCUGCCCUCUUGGAAGACCAGCAUUUGUGUCAACUAAGCCCCAACCCUGUUAUCUUCAGUGGUUUCAUACAAAAGAGACUGUAAAAUUGACUACCUGGACCCUGCAAUCACCUACACAAGUGACUCUGCCCUCUUGGAAGACCAGCAUUUGUGUCAACUAAGCCCCAACCCUGUUAUCUUCAGUGGUUUCAUACAAAAGAGACUGUAAAAUUGACUACCUGGACCCUGCAAUCACCUACACAAGUGACUCUGCCCUCUUGGAAGACCAGCAUUUGUGUCAACUAAGCCCCAACCCUGUUAUCUUCAGUGGUUUCAUACAAAAGAGACUGUAAAAUUGACUACCUGGACCCUGCAAUCACCUACACAAGUGACUCUGCCCUCUUGGAAGACCAGCAUUUGUGUCAACUAAGCCCCAACCCUGUUAUCUUCAGUGGUUUCAUACAAAAGAGACUGUAAAAGUAUGUUAUUUAUACAUGUUUAAAUACAAAUCCUCUGACCUGAGUAUCUUACUCUAGCUACCUGCCCAGGACUGCCAGCAGCCAACAGCCCUAGUUCUUAACCCUAUACUUCUCCAGACCUUUAUCUAUUA